UACGUAGGGUCCGAGCGUUGUCCGGAAUUACUGGGCGUAAAGAGCUCGUAGGCGGUUUGUCGCGUCUGCCGUGAAAGUCCGGGCUCAACUCCGGAUCUGCGGUGGGUACGGGCAGACUAGAGUGAUGUAGGGGAGACUGGAAUUCCUGGUGUAGCGGUGAAAUGCGCAGAUAUCAGGAGGAACACCGAUGGCGAAGGCAGGUCUCUGGGCAUUAACUGACGCUGAGGAGCGAAAGCAUGGGGAGCGAACAGG
rnacentral:rRNA from 1 species